AAGUCGUAACAAGGUAACCGUAGGUGAACCUGCGGUUGGAUCAUUACCGAUUCUGCCUUUCGAGGCACCCACACCUGUGAACUGUGCUGUUUCUUGGGUGUUUCUGUGUCUCAGGACGCGGGAAUGCCCAGCAGUCUAACCACUGAAUCUUGGCUGAGAUUGAAGUUUAAAUAGUAACAACUUUUGACAACGGAUCUCUUGGCUCUC
rnacentral:misc_RNA from 1 species